GCCCCCAUCGUCUAGCGGCCCAGGACCCCGCCCUUUCACGGCGGUAGCGCCGGUUCGAAUCCGGUUGGGGGUGCGA
rnacentral:tRNA from 6 species